AAAAAAUCUACGACCUGGGAAAGGAAAGAGCCAGUUGAGGAAAAGCCCUUUGUCCCUUCUUUGUUUAUAUCUCCAACUUCCCGAUUUUUCCUGUGGCUGUGAUGGCCAGGAUGUGGCAGCCCUCUGGUUAUAACAGUGUCACAAAUCCUUCAUUGAGGCUGCCUUGCAACCCAAGCUCUGCCUCUCUCCAAUCCUCUCUUUCCCUCCCUUCAUAGGUGCAGAUGCUGAGAGCACUUUCUAGUCAAGUCCUGCAUGUUCAUUUCUGUCUCAAGUCAGCUUCUCUGAGAAUCCAAUUUAUAAAAAUAUAUUUGUGAAUGUAUAAGUAAAGUGACUUGGAUUUUGUCUACGUACAAGGACUUCUAUGCCUGCAUAAAACAGCUUUCAGAGUGACUAACCAUACCAGUUUGACCAAGACUGUAUUGGCUGCAGCACUUAAAAGCUCACAUCCCGGAAAUCCUUUGGUCCUCGGUGAAUUGGGAUGGUUGGUUACCCUAUUACUGAUGAUUGUAAUUCUCAGCGUAGUUUGGAACCAGCAGCAGCAGCAGCUCCCCA
rnacentral:lncRNA from 1 species